rnacentral:piRNA from 1 species
UGGAAAGGUGAUUUUCCUAAUGGGUGAUAA